UGUAGUCAUAUGCUUGUCUCAAAGAUUAAGCCAUGCAUGUCUAAGUAUAAGCAAUUAUACCGCGAAACUGCGAAUGGCUCAUUAAAUCAGUUAUCGUUUAUUUGAUAGUACCUUACUACAUGGAUAACCGUGGUAAUUCUAGAGCUAAUACAUGCUAAAAAUCCCGACUCCGGAAGGGAUGUAUUUAUUAGAUUAAAAACCAAUGCCCUUCGGGGCUCUCUGGUGAUUCAUAAUAACUUAACGAAUCGCAUGGCCUUGUGCCGGCGAUGGUUCAUUCAAAUUUCUGCCCUAUCAACUUUCGAUGGUUAGGUCUUGGCUAACCAUGGUUUCAACGGGUAACGGGGAAUUAGGGUUCUAUUCCGGAGAGUGAGCCUGAGAAACGGCUAACACAUCCAAGGAAGGCAGCAGGCGCGCAAAUUACCCAAUCCCGACACGGGGAGGUAGUGACAAUAAAUACUGAUCCAGGGCUCUUUUGGGUCUUGGAAUUGGAAUGAGUACAAUUUAAAUCCCUUAACGAGGAACAAUUGGAGGGCAAGUCUGGUAAUCG
rnacentral:rRNA from 1 species